rnacentral:rRNA from 1 species
UACGUAGGGGGCAAGCGUUUGUCCGGAUUUAUUGGGCGUAAAGAGCGUGUAGGCGGUUUGGUAGGUCCGCUGUGAAAACUCGAGGCUCAACCUCGAGACGCCGGUGGAAACCAUCAGACUAGAGUCCGGAAGAGGAGAGUGGAAUUCCUGGUGUAGCGGUGAAAUGCGCAGAUAUCAGGAAGAACACCCGUGGCUAAGGCGGCUCUCUAGUACGGUACUGACGCUGAGACGCGAAAAGCGUGGGGAGCGAACAGG